AAGAGCAGUGACCGUUGGCACAGCCUCCCUGUGGAUUCCUCCCAGAAGCUGUGGGGGGAGGGGACUGGGCGAAACAUCCAGUCACUGCUUUCUCUUCUCCUGUUGAACAACUGGUCGGUCCUUCCCGAAAUGGGUGUCCAUUCCUCCAAAGUUGCACCCCAAGGGGGGUUCGAGCAAGGGGAGGCUUCAGGGGUUCAGAGGCCAGAGCAGGAGGACUGGCCCGAGCCAUGGUCUGAGAGCAGAGCAGAUCCUGAGGCGGCAACUGGGCCCCAGCAGCUCCCCGCCUCCGCGGGGCACCCAGAGCAGGUCCUGGAUUCCAGUGAGGGGCAGGAGCCCGACCAGAGCCAGGCUUUGGGGCCUUCCUCAGACCCACCCCGACAGCCGUCUGAGAGAGGGGAUUCACCGGUCCCGGAAGCCCAGGGGCAGCAGCCACCCCCUGGGAGGCCCCGCUGCCACACCAACCGCCUGGAGCAGCCCCUCGCCCGGGGCUUCCAGAGGAUGGGGCUGGCAGUGGGCUCGCACCCCUGGCUCUUCCUGCUGGCGCCCCUGGUGCUGACGGCUGUCCUGGGUACCGGUUGACGUACCUGCACAGGGAGACUGAAGAGAACCUGGAGGAGCAGUACACCUCUUUGGGUAGCCCCGGCAAAGCCGAGCUGCACUUCGUGCAGGCACAUUUCUCCAAUAACGAGUUCCACCUCUUCUCCCCGUUGUGGUCCAGUGCGGAGGUCAACUUUGCCUCCAUCCUGGUGAUGUCCAACACUACCAAUCUGCUGGAUCAAGUCAUCUUCUCAGAAAUGAGUCAACUGGACGAGGCAGUGCAGACGCUGACUGCGCCUUGGGAAGAUGGAACCCAGGUCCUCUACCCUCAGGUGUGUGCCAGGUACCAGAGCACCUGCAUGCCCUCCAACCCACUCCUGUUCAUCUGGCAGAAGAAUAACAUCAUGGACCUGAAAAGCAUCACUUUCCCUAUUUACAACACCUCCGCUGCUCCCCUCUACUUGGCCAACCUCUUGGGAGGAACAGUCCUAGGUCCGGGCGCAGGGACAAGCCGCUUACUCCUGUAAGCCAAGACCAUGCGGCUGCAGUACUACCUGAAGACCGCAGACCCCGAGGAAAGCCCGUGCAGCCAGAAGUGGCUUCUCGAGUUCCUGGACCAAAUUCACGUCAUUGAAAAGUGCUUGGCCUUGAAGAACAUCCAGGUGGUCUAAUUCACAUCACUUUCUAGGAAACUUGAAUUUGAGGCGAGUGCUAGGACAGUGGUCCCUUUCUUUUACACGGCAUACCUUCUGAUCAUAUUAUCUGCCAUCAUAUCAUGCUACAGGGAUCUGCUAUGAAAAGAAGAAGAGCACUACAGGAGUGGUGUUCAAGUGAAGCAGCAGCUGGAGUCCACACUGUCAGCAGUAGCUGUGGAACUGAGAGCUCUAAGAAGUGAUUUAAU